rnacentral:tRNA from 1 species
GCUGGCAUAGCUCAGUUGGUAGAGCAGCUGAUUUGUAAUCAGCAGGUCGCGGGUUCGAAUCCUGUUGCCAGCUCCA